CGCAUCCCCUGCCCCAGUGAAGCGAAUCUCAGAAGUAUGAAAAACCCCAGGUGGGAUGACAACGACAUCAUACUCUCUAGAGGAAAAGAAUGUAAAGAGACAAAAACGAUGGUUGCAAUGGGGCAGGGAGGGCACCCUGGAGGAGACACUAAAAAUAUUCCCAAAGACGGUAAACUCAGAAAAGUCACAUAUUGAAGAAGUUAGGAGAGUCACUUCUGAACUCACCGGCAGCCCAGGGCUGUAGCCGGGAUGGCAAAGGGGGCAAAAUGCGAUCAUAGGUGCUGUCGUUUGUGGUCAGGGUUAGGGGAGAAGGAGGAGGACAAAACAGUAGGCUAAGGAAGCUAGGUGGGCAGGAAACGUCCUUUUCAGCCCCGCAGGAGACACCAGAAGAGGUGGGACCCAGAAAAGGCCAGCCCCGCUGCUCACCCCCUUCACCUCUCACUUCUGCCAUUUCCGGAGUUCUCUCCCUGCUUGGCCUGUCAUGCACCUGUUUACCUCUCCAGAGGUAGUUGCUCUUUCAGCUUCAAAUAUUCAUCAACCAGAGAAAUUUAAAACAGUGCAAAACACCAACACAAAACAUAAACAUGCUCUUUAAGAAUGUUUUUAGCUUUUUUUUUUUUUUAAAUCCACAAAAAUCUGAUCUUCUUCCAAGGCAGAUGGACCAGCCUCACUUGGCUGUGAACCGUGAAGUUUGCUGGCAGCAUAUACAUAUCUCUGGCCUUAUGAGGGCUCACCCUAGCGUCACCCAUAGCACCCUGCUUUUAUUGUCAGUGUUCCCUUAUAUGUUCACAGUCACUGGAAAUGAUCAACACAAUUAGAUUUGCUUCUUUUGCCCCAGAACAAAGCGGGUUUGUUGAUGUACUGAAUCGGACACAUUACUUUCUAGCUGAACACUCAGCUUCAUCCACUCCAGGACAGCUGAGCGUCUGGAUGGUGUCUCACCCUGUUGCCCAGGCUGGAAUACAGUGGCACGAUCCUGGCUCACUGCAAUCUCCAUCUCCCGGGUUCAAGCGAUUCUCCUGCCUCAGCCUCUCAAGUAGCUGGGAUUACAGGGCUUCAGAAGCUGAUGGCAUAGUUAUGAGAGGGGUGAAGACUGCGACUGCAUUUCCAACAGACCCUGAGGACAAUUGGGAAGAAUGAGGAGCAGUGUCAACAGUCCUAGCCAGCUGUUGCUGAAGGGCCCAACACCAAAUCCCAGCUGAAGAACAGCUUCUCAUCUUUUGAGACACAGCACAGGGUGAUGGGCAUGGAGCUCUUCCACACUCCCCACAGUCUGACUUAGCUCUCUCCGUUGUGCCCUCCUGGCACCCUGCUCGUAUUUUAUUGUGGCACCUAUAUCGCUGGAUCUCACUCACUGGUUUGCACUCCUGUAUCCCCUUUGAGGGAACAAAUCCCAUGCCUCUGCAAUCCCAGGAUCUGAUACUGAGAUAGACACUAAACAGAUAUUUAAAAAUUUUUGAUAAUCAAUGAAUGGACAAGGAGAAUAAAUAAUAUGAAAGAUGAAAUAAAGAAAUAAAAGUAUUAAUGAGAGUAUAAACAUAUCCAGAUUGGGCUGGGUGCGAUGGCUCAUGCCUAUAAUCCCAGCACUUUGGGAGGCUGAGGUGGGAGGAUCACUUGAGGUCAAGAGUUCGAGAGCAGCCUGGCCAACAUGGCGAAACCCUGUCUCUGCUAGAGAUACAAAAAUUAGCUGGGUGUGGUGGUGUGUGCUUGUAAUCCCAGCUACUUGGGAGGCUGAGGCAGGAGAAUCACUUGAACCUGGGAGGCGGAAGCUGCAGUGAGCUGAAAUUGCACCAGCCUGGGUGACACAGUGAGACUCUGUCUCAAAACAAAACAAAACAACAACAACAAAAAAAAAAAAAAAAGAAAGAAAGAAAAAAAGAAAUCCAGAUAGACUAUUAUGUCUUACUGUUCUUUUUCAUUCAUACCAAAUGGGAAAGAAUUUCCUGUCAAUGCUGGCAGUCUCUGGCUAUCAUGUGGCAGCAUCCGGGAAGGACCUUUGAGGCCACGCUCUUUCCCUCAGGGGACAGUGAGGUGCGUUGUCCAUGGCACCGAUGGGUUUUUCUCUGGGUAGCAGGAGGUUCCACAAUUCCCCAGCCCCAUUUCCUUUUAAGUCAUUCUGGUUAUCAUUUCAGUUGAAAGAAUUGGAGCUACUUUUCACUUGGGAGAACAUAAUAAAAAUCACUUAUUCAGUACUAAAUUAGGAUGGACAGCCUUUCUCUUGGGAAGAAAAGCAAUAACAGAUCACAAUAAUGAGAUUGUGCAACAAGCUUUGAAAAUGCUUAUACUACAUUUAUAUGAAACAGUAUUUGCUUACACUUCAGAUAUGGCUGUCGAUUUAUGGUUCAGAGCCAUGGAGCAGGUAAUAAAUAUGACUGUGACAACUUUCUGAAAUCAUUUUUAUUACUUUUUAAAAAUAAAAAUACUAUUUGCUGUUCAAUUCCUAUUAAACUAUAGC
rnacentral:lncRNA from 1 species